rnacentral:lncRNA from 1 species
ACCUCUCUAGUUGACAUCCUUAAUCUUCAAGUAGAUCUAUGCAUCCUAGAACACUAUAGGAAGUAUUCUAGAUACUAGUGGACCCGUUGCGCCAAAUGGCGCAGAGGCACCCUAAAUCCAUGUGUGCGAUGAAACAAAUAUUCAUAGUUGAAUCCCCUUUAAUAGGAAACAUGGUGGACUAGUGUCUACAAUGACAUGUGUAUACAUAUUUUAUUUUGAUAGCACAGAGUACGUUUUAGUCAGCUUAGCUAUGGGCAAGUACAUAUCAUAAUAAACAUAAUCUCCUUUAGUCAAAAAAACUUGUGUCUUGUUGUGUACAAUGAGAUAUAUAUACACAUUCUAAUUUGGUGGUAUAAAGCCCCAUUCAAAACCUCUGGCAUAUUUACACACCGUUACAGUAAUGUGACUUAUUAGUCUGUGCUGACUGAAAAUCUAUGUUGUUUUAGGUUUCCUCCACGGAGGGAGCUCGCAUGAAUGAUCCUGUGAGCAUUAGCUCUGCUGAAGCCGUGGACACGAGCUCUAAUGAAGGCGUGGAGACCAGCUCUGAUGAAGGUAUUUUCAGCAAUGCUAGACAUCACUUACGCGCACGAAGAUAAAUAUAUCUAUAGCCACAAAUAAUGCACAUGCAGAAGAAAAGGAGAGCAAACCUUGAGGAGCAAAAACGAGCUGCAGGUCUAGGAACAAAGCAAUUCGUCUAACCUGCAAAAUAAACACAGACAAAAAGGUAAGAACACAGGCACAACAAUGCAGACAUAAACCGCAUUUACCAACAAUGCAUUAAAACAUGUCUGAAAGGCCAUCCAAUACAUACAGAACAACAGGACGACAUCACAAUAAUACCUUUAAUCUAAGAGAAUAAUACUGAAGAAAUGAAUCGAAGGAGAACAGAGCUAUAAAGCUUUUAUUAAUGAAAAAAGUCCAUUUUACUACGCUGAACAAAGUUGCUGGUUCACAUUACCCCUUGAGCUAUUUUUUGGUUCCCUUACCCCCCUAAACAAGCCCAUACCGGACAAAAAAAACCCCUGGGUGGUUUUCCUAGACCGGAUGCUGACAUGGACACGGUCAAAGGUGGUAUUUGACCUACGGGUGGGUCCCACUAUGGCAGGGGCGUCUUCAACCCCUCGCCAAGAGGACGCUGCGUUGUUGGCGUUCGUGCGUCGACGGCCACCUCAUGCUUCACACUGUCCCACGCGUCCCCGGGCCUUUCUUCGCGCCAUAGAGACGUGCACGGCCUCCUCUACCUCUUCCCUCUUUCGCAGCUUCCUCUGCCCUUCUCUAGCUCUCUCCCGAGUGUCUCCGAGAGAAACCAUCGCCGCCGCCCUUUGUCCUCGUGUCCACCAGCCACCUCUUGCCACACCAACAUGUCCAGGAGCUCCGCCUAGACGCCUUGAACAUCUCCGUAGAAGAACUCGAGCUCGGACACACUGCAUCACGCUAACCGCCAUCUUCUUCCUUGUUGGCAUCCGAAGAUCGCCAUUGUCGAUUCGGGCACUUCAGAGCCUCCCCGAGCCAGAAAAGAUGCCCUACGACUUCACUAUGAGUUCCUACGCAUUUACCUUCUUCCCUCUUCGUCGAUUUGGUCCUCCAACUAAGGUAGCCGCCAUGACCGAAGCCGCCGUCCGCCAUUGCCGAUGAGCUCGUCGCUGCCAAGCUCUCCGAGCCGCCAUGUGUUGUCCAACAAGCUUCUGCUACCCCGUGGUUGCCACCCCGCUACUCAUCUUGCUCGUCUGCAUGCUCCAUCACAGUUGCCCGCAUGCACCGAGCGCCGCCGCCGCCCAGCUCGCUUCCGUCGCCAGCACCAGCCACCCCAGCACCCGCUGCUACAACUAGCCAACGCGCCUCGUCGCGCUGGUCACACAGAGCCCACGCGCGCAUCCAUCCUCCGCCGGAAUCGGCCGGCCGGCGAUGUCCGAUGUGCCCCGGUUAGCCACCGGCUAAACCUAUCGUUAGCACUUAGUUAAUCCACCCCUUGAGUCAAUGCCAAGCAGGUCCCACUAGCUAAUUAAUCACAGGGCUAAUUUUCUGUUUGGAUUAAGUUAAUCAUCAUGGCCCCACCCACAGGUCAAAACUACCAUUGACCAGCGCCACGUCAGUUGCAAGUCAAGACAUACCACCCACGGGUUUUUUUGUCCGGUAUGGGAUUGUUUAGGGGAUAAGGGAACCGAAAAAUAGAUUAGGGGGUAAUGUGAACCACCAACCUUGUUCAGGGUAGUAAAAUGGACUUUUUUCUUUAUUAAUCGAUGAGUAGCCUGGUUCUCAUUCCAAUAGUAAAUAUGCAGAAAUUGGGGAAGAUGGCCACCGAUCAAUUUGACAUAUUGUGCUUUCAGCCAAACUAAGAUACACAACCAGCCAAUGUAUUUUUACCUCCACUGCACCAAUGUUAUUGUAAGCUAAUCUAGCAGAAAGAAUAGACAAUAAACCAUGCCAAUAUCAUCAUCAGUACACAAGCGCACAACCCAUGGUAUAUGCAGACAGCUCAACCGUAGACAAAAGUAGGCCUAGCGCCAGAAAACACACCCACCAAAUUAUACCAAGCAUAAGAAAGCACAUACUAUCAAUUGCAGAGGCAGCAGCAUACACAAAACUUAGGACUCAUAAGAAAUACAAAGAAAGAAGCUAAGGAGCAGUGCAUUACCAGAAGGAAGAAGCACAGCCAGGACAGCAAUGAGCAAACGACAACCUGAGUAAAAAAAUGGCUAGAUCACUGCGUGGCAGAGUAGGCUAUAGAUAAUCAAGAACCUGUGAACUGAUAGUAAAUUCGUAAUAUAGUGUUCCAAACAAACUUCAGACAGCAAAAUUUACUUUUUGAAAAGACACAAUUUGACAUUUGUUAGGCUAAACAAAAAAGAAAGAUUGUGAUAAUAUUUAGAGGAAUUAAUUCAGUUUGCAGGAGAACGUGAUAACCUCAGUAUCUUCAACCUGCAUGCAUAAUAAGAAGGUCAAAAGGCUUGUUUUCUGGUAGAGAAGUCGGUCAGUCUCACAUGCUACAUCGACAAAACAAUAAGAAAUCAAGUUUUGCUCAUAUAGUCAUCCGGACCUGGCAAGUCUUGUUCAUAUAUAGUCAUCCGGACACCGAAAGCUGAAGCAAGCACAUGACAAACACAUGACAACAUAUAUUCUGAAAUUACAGAGUAGAACUGGGUAAAGAAGUAAGUCCGUCUCAGAUGCUACAUCGACAAAAAAAUCAAGAAGUCAAGUUUUGCUUGAGUUGAGCCUUGAUCGGCAGCCUUCACACCUACCUUGCUCUAAAUUAGUCCAAAAGAAAUAAAAACAUGUGCAGCACAUAAUACUUUUGAGAAAUCAGUGUACACAAACAUGAGGAAUUUGUAAUCCAACCCCCGAAUGCAAAACAGUUGCAUCAUAGUAGGUAUAUAUGCAGUCCAUAUUCCAUUCUCAUAAUUUUCUUGCAACACUUUCUGUAAUUCAAGCAGGUUUUUUCUUUCUUGCCACUUAUCAGUAAGAACAAAACACACCAAUAAAACAAGAAUCUAAAAAAUGUCCUCACACUUUGAAGAAAAAAAGAUAUGAAUUAACUCUCAAGAUCAAGCGACGGGCGUCUUCCCUGUCUACUACCGCCAGCCUCAACACCAACUCCACAUAUCAAACACAUUGCCUUUCCACUGACCCCUCGUUGCCUGAGAAGAAUAAAAGAGGGAACGACGUUUGAAGCUCACCUUGAUGUGUUGGAAUCAGGUGCACUCGCUGUAGCUCGACCGAGCUGCGCCCAUGAUCUGGACCGGCACUCCCGCUGGCUGUACAGUCCGCUGCAGGUUAGAAAACGUGCCCCAGCCUCCUCGUAGGUCCCGAUCCAGGAUCGGAGCAGAUCGAGCCGCCACCAACCACAAGGUCGAGCCCGACCUCGCCGGCCGGUGACCCUCUCCCGUCCGACGCGACGCCUCCCUCUCCUCUUUCCCCUCUCUCUCUCUCUCCCUCUCAUCUUCUCUCUUCCUACAGAACGAAUCGAGCGCCGCCACCGUCGCCCUUUGCCUGCACGCCUCCUCCAAGCCCGCCAAGGAGGUUUGGACAAGACACGGGAGGUGGUCGCGAUUGACACGGGAGGAUGCGCGACCGUGGAGGCGGCUAGGGUUCGUGUGGGAGGAGUGGCUUGUGCGCGAGGAGGCGCUUUGCUUUUUCCC